ACUACGGGAGGCUGCAGUGGGGAAUAUUGGACAAUGGGGGAAACCCUGAUCCAGCUACGCCGCGUGAGUGAAGAAGUAUUUCGGUACGGAAAGCUCUAUCAGCAGGGAAGAAAAUGACGGUACCUGAGUCAGAAGCCCCGGCUAACUACAUGCCAGCAGCCGCGGUAAUACGUAGGGGGCAGGCGUUAUCCGGAUUUACUGGGUGUCAAGGGGACGUAGACGGCGGUGUAAGUCUGGCGUGAAAUGCCGGGGCCCAACCCCCGGACUGCCGUGGAAACUGUCUGGCGUGAGUGCAGGAGAGGUAAGCGGAAUUCCUAGUGUAGCGGUGAAAUGCGUAGAUAUUAGGAGGAACACCGGUGGCGAAGGCGGCUUACUGGACUGUAACUGACGCUGAGGCUCGAAGGCGUGGGGAGCAAACAGGAUUAGAUACCCUGGUAGUC
rnacentral:rRNA from 1 species